UUUAAAGAGAGUUUGAUCCUGGCUCAGGACGAACGCUGGCGGCGUGCCUAAUACAUGCAAGUCGAACGAACGGAGGAAGAGCUUGCUCUUCCAAAGUUAGUGGCGGACGGGUGAGUAACACGUGGGCAACCUGCCUGUAAGUUGGGGAUAACUCCGGGAAACCGGGGCUAAUACCGAAUGAUAAAGUUUGGCGCAUGCCACGCUUUUGAAAGAUGGUUUCGGCUAUCGCUUACAGAUGGGCCCGCGGUGCAUUAGCUAGUUGGUAGGGUAAUGGCCUACCAAGGCAACGAUGCAUAGCCGACCUGAGAGGGUGAUCGGCCACACUGGGACUGAGACACGGCCCAGACUCCUACGGGAGGCAGCAGUAGGGAAUCUUCCGCAAUGGACGAAAGUCUGACGGAGCAACGCCGCGUGUAUGAAGAAGGUUUUCGGAUCGUAAAGUACUGUUGUUAGAGAAGAACAAGGAUAAGAGUAACUGCUUGUCCCUUGACGGUAUCUAACCAGAAAGCCACGGCUAACUACGUGCCAGCAGCCGCGGUAAUACGUAGGUGGCAAGCGUUGUCCGGAUUUAUUGGGCGUAAAGCGCGCGCAGGCGGUCUUUUAAGUCUGAUGUGAAAGCCCCCGGCUUAACCGGGGAGGGUCAUUGGAAACUGGAAGACUGGAGUGCAGAAGAGGAGAGUGGAAUUCCACGUGUAGCGGUGAAAUGCGUAGAUAUGUGGAGGAACACCAGUGGCGAAGGCGACUCUC
rnacentral:rRNA from 1 species